GGUGGGAGUGAGUCUCAGUGAUCAGCUGGUGGACAGGUGUCAGCAGGUGGACAGGUGUCCCCCCCAGGAGGACAGGUGUCCCCCCCAGGCACAGUGAGUCUCAGUGAUCAGCUGGUGGACAGGUGUCCCCCCCCCCCCAGGUGGACACAGUGAGUCUCAGUUUACAGACAGAAGAUCAGUGACACUCCCAGCAGACACAAACUCAGAGAAACACAGAGAUCCUAUUGGCUGUUCAGAGAUCCUAUUGGCUGUUCAGAGAUCCUAUUGGCUGUUCAGAGAUCCUAUUGGCUGUAGACCAUUCAGCGGCUGUGCCCACACGCACACCUUCGUCCUCCGAGAGACCUGAUUCUGGUCCACGUUGCUAAUCUAGACCAUAUUCUGCUGAUUCAUGUCUGCUAGAAGUCUUUGAGCCUGUGUUAGGGUUAGGUGUCUAACAGCUGUGGUAACAGCUGACCCCAAAGCAGUCUCACACACACAUAUCCUACGUUUCCCCUCAAAAUCUUUAACAUUUCAUUUCAAAAUAUAAUACUUUUUUUCCUGAAUAUUUGUAUUUGUUUUUCUUAAAUUAUUCCGAAGUAUUCCAACUUUUUCGACCCCCAAAAAAGUUAGUUUCAAGGACUUUUUACUUCUCCAUCCGUGGUGAGAAGACCGCUCUGAAAAGGUCUGAUUCCUCGGUACCAGAUCCCUCAGAGGUCCCUCAGAGGUCCCCCAGAUACAGGUCCCUCAGAGGUCCCUCAGAGGUCCCCCAGAUACAGGUCCCUCAGAGGUCCCUCAGAGGUCCCCCAGAUACAGGUCCCUCAGAGGUCCCUCAGAGGUCCCCCAGAUACAGGUCCCCCAGAUACAGGUCCCUCAGAUACAGGUCCCCCAGAUACAGGUCCCUCAGAUACAGGUCCCCCAGAUACAGGUCCCUCAGAUACAGGUCCCCCAGAUACAGGUCCCUCAGAUAGAGGUCCCUUAGAUUAAGAUCCCUCAGAUAGAGGUCCCUUAGAUUAAGAUCCCUCAGAUUAAGGUCCCGUUGUGGGUCUGUGUCUCCGUACUGUAACCGGGCCCUGGUCAUAUUUAGGGUCUCGGGGCUGCGUAUGAAACUCAGAAUAUGGUGGUGAUGUCAUAGCGCGAGGAGCGUGGGUGUGCGUGUGCGCGUGGUCGGAGAGACAGACAGAUGAGACGAGGUAAGACAGGCGUCCUCCAGCGGGACAUUUGGGACGCCAUGGCCGUAAGUAUCAGCUGCUGAGUGAUGUUUGGAUUCAUUUACUCCCUUUGAUUUUACUUUCACCCUGUGGUGUGUGUGUGUGUGUGGGGGGGGUGGGGGUGACCUUUGACCCUUCCAGCAGUGUGUGUGUGUGUGUGUGGGGGGGUGGGGGUGUUUUUAAGGAUGCUGCCCCCCCUCCCCUCCCCCCCCAGCCAGGCUGCUGCAGCUGUUUGUCUCCGAGGAAACUCUUUUCUUUUGUUAAAGUGCUCGACCCCCCCCCCAAACAAACAGACAAACUGAAUGUUUAGUAUUUGGCUUCGUCCCUCGGAGAGACUCAGAGACACACGGAGACCCACGGAGACAGAGACGGGACUCUGCAGCGCUCAUCACACGCCUUUCUCUGUCCAAUCAACUCUACCACAUAUAGAUAUAUAUAUAUAUAGAUAUAUAGUGUAUAUAUAUCUAUCUAAUGAUGACCCAGUAUCAGAGAGGACUCCAGUCCUUCCACUGUUGUUUUUUACUGUACAUGUUGGAUUUAAAUGUUAUUAAAUUAUGUUCUGAAGAGAAGA